rnacentral:rRNA from 1 species
UGGGGAAUUUUGGAUCAAUGGGCGAAAGCCUGAUCCAGCAAUGCCGCGUGUGUGAAGAAGGCCUUCGGGUUGUAAAGCACUUUUGUCCGGAAAGAAAUUCUUGGCUCUAAUACAGUCGGGGAGUGACGGUACCGGAAGAAUAAGCACCGGCUAACUACGUGCCAGCAGCCGCGGUAAUACGUAGGGUGCAAGCGUUAAUCGGAAUUACUGGGCGUAAAGCGUGCGCAGGCGGUUUGCUAAGACCGAUGUGAAAUCCCCGGCGUCACCUAGGGCACUGGCAUUGGUGCAUGCUGGGCAGGCUAGAGUAUGGCAGAGGGGGUGAAAUUCCACGUGUAGCAGUGAAAUGCGUAGAGAUGUGGAGGAAUACCGAUGGCGAAGGCAG